UAGCAGUGCUAAUGCGAUGAGGUUACUGUU
rnacentral:piRNA from 1 species